rnacentral:rRNA from 1 species
GAUGAACGCUGGCGGCGUGCCUAAUACAUGCAAGUCGAGCGAACGGACGAGAAGCUUGCUUCUCUGAUGUUAGCGGCGGACGGGUGAGUAACACGUGGAUAACCUACCUAUAAGACUGGGAUAACUUCGGGAAACCGGAGCUAAUACCGGAUAAUAUUUUGAACCGCAUGGUUCAAAAGUGAAAGACGGUCUUGCUGUCACUUAUAGAUGGAUCCGCGCUGCAUUAGCUAGUUGGUAAGGUAACGGCUUACCAAGGCAACGAUGCAUAGCCGACCUGAGAGGGUGAUCGGCCACACUGGAACUGAGACACGGUCCAGACUCCUACGGGAGGCAGCAGUAGGGAAUCUUCCGCAAUGGGCGAAAGCAUGACGGAGCAACGCCGCGUGAGUGAUGAAGGUCUUCGGAUCGUAAAACUGUGUUAUUAGGGAAGAACAAAUGUGUAAGUAACUGUGCACAUCUUGACGGUACCUAAUCAGAAAGCCACGGCUAACUACGUG